rnacentral:rRNA from 1 species
AGUACAUUAGAUACCCCCGUAGUCCCAGCCGUAAACUAUGCUCGCUAGGUGUCAGGCAUGGCGCGACCGUGUCUGGUGCCGCAGGGAAGCCGUGAAGCGAGCCACCUGGGAAGUACGGCCGCAAGGCUGAAACUUAAAGGAAUUGGCGGGGAGCACAACAACGGGUGGAGCCUGCGGUUUAAUUGGACUCAACGCCGGACAACUCACCGGGAACGACAGCAAUAUGUAGGCCAGGCUGAAGACCUUGCCUGAAUCGCUG